rnacentral:rRNA from 1 species
AGUGAACGCUGGCGGUAGGCCUAACACAUGCAAGUCGAACGGCAGCACAGAAAGAGCUUGCUCUUACGGGUGGCGAGUGGCGGACGGGUGAGGAAUACAUCGGAAUCUACUUUUUCGUGGGGGAUAACGUAGGGAAACUUACGCUAAUACCGCAUACGACCUACGGGUGAAAGCAGGGGAUCUUCGGACCUUGCGCGAUUGAACGAGCCGAUGUCGGAUUAGCUAGUUGGCGGGGUAAAGGCCCACCAAGGCGACGAUCCGUAGCUGGUCUGAGAGGAUGAUCAGCCACACUGGAACUGAGACACGGUCCAGACUCCUACGGGAGGCAGCAGUGGGGAAUAUUGGACAAUGGGCGCAAGCCUGAUCCAGCCAUACCGCGUGGGUGAAGAAGGCCUUCGGGUUGUAAAGCCCUUUUGUUGGGAAAGAAAAGCAGCAGGUUAAUACCCCGCUGUUCUGACGGUACCCAAAGAAUAAGCACCGGCUAACUUCGUG